GACGAACCGUGCGAACGUUGUUCGGAAUCACUGGGCUUAAAGGGCGCGUAGGCGGGCUGCCAAGUCUGGGGUGAAAUCCCACGGCUCAACCGGAAAAGUGCCUUGGAUACUGCUUGUCUCGAGGGAGGUAGGGGUUGCUGGAACUUCCGGUGGAGCGGUGAAAUGCGUAGAUAUCGGGAGGAAUACCAGUGGCGAAGGCGACUGGCUGGGCUGUAACUGACGCUGAGACGCGAAAGCGUGGGGAGCAAACAGG
rnacentral:rRNA from 1 species